AUAGACUCCGCUUCCUGCCUACCAUUUGGUCUCGGUGAAAACUAUUUAUUUAUAAUGAAUGUCUUUAGCCUUCCCUGGGAAAAUUUAACAGCUAUGUUUCUUGGAUUUUCUGAGCUGAAAAAAACAAAAAAGUCAAAUGAAGACGACACUGCUUGCCUUGCAUUCUUGCUUCACCAAACGACAAGAAGAAUCUAAAGGAUAAUAGCUAUGCACAGAUUUUGAAGUUACAAAUGCUGGGCAAAUGCAACGAUUACUGGGGAAAGGGAAACGGCUCAGGUAACCCAGCUGGAAAACUGUAGGUUUAAAGAGCUGCACGGAGCCGGAGAAAUGAAGAGCAACCUCUAAUUUUACAGAUGAGAAAACUUUACCUGAAGAGUUAGCGCAAUGAUCUGAUAAUUCCCAUAAUUUUAGGUAAUGAUAAUAAUUUCAGGACUUGCUCUGAGCUGAGUGCACCGAUGCUUCACAGCCAUUGUCAUAUUUAGUCUUUUCAGUGUCUGUGAGAGGAAGAGGAGGCUGAGGAAACAACCUGUCCAAGGACACAUGACCACUAACUAGUAAAUCCUUGAUUGCCAGUGAAGGAUUCCUAGCACCAAAUGUUUAAGCUUGGGACUACCUUGGAUGACUAAUAUGAAUUAAAAAAAAAAGUCAUCACUGUCUUUGACCUCCAUGGAGUGCUUCACCAACAGGCAAAAAGCAUAGCUAGAAGCCUCCUACAGAAUAGAUGAUGCCUGAAUUUGUUCUGCCUCUUCAGAAGCCUUGGAUAUGCUUUUUGUUGGUGUCUUUAACAGGUGCUGUGGUGUAUAAGCGGUGUCAGUUUACCUGUCUGCUAUCUAACUAACCCAAAACAUAAACCACCGAAAAGGGAAGACUAUCAAACACCUGAACAGAGAUUUUCAUGCUUUUCCGUGUGCAGAUGCAGUCCCCAGAAAGACUAGAUCUAGCCUCUGUGCCAACAGCACACGGCAGACGUGAGGGAAUGGGACUUCAUUAGAAAACCAGCGCAUGUGGGAAUUUUCCGGUCCCAACAUUUGCCCGGAGGGCUUUCCAACGUACUGUAGCUGUGACCUCCUUCGUGUCUUAGGUUCCCUGGUUUUCAGGGGAAAUAUCCAAGGCAGUUACUGCAUGUGCGCGCGCACUCCCGUGGUGUGAUGAGCAUGCUCGUGGAACCUGGUCGCAGAGCCCAGCUCUAGGCCUUCAGAUGGGGAGAAGCUAAUGCGUGAAGAGCCAUCGCCGAGGGGUCAACUGGCAGAGCCUCACCGGCACAUGGGCCUGACUUUGGUGACAAGGUUGUGAGCUAACUGUUAGGGCAUGAGGAGGAAUGUGGUGAGUAGUUAGAGGCCCAGGAGCACAGCGGUACCCAGGCUGCAGUUUCUCCCUGAGGAGCACGGGCAGAGGAUCAGUUACUUAACUACUGAGAACACUCCAGAGAGGGACCUGUAAGGAACAGAUGCACUAGAAGUAACUACUGGGCCAGAAUUCCUCCAGAGAUUUCUCAGAAAGACGACUUUCUUUUUCCACACUCAUUUCUCACCCUGCAAGUGGGUGACUAACAAAACCUCUUUCUUUCUGAAGGAAGAUUGAGAGUGGUGAAGGAUGGUUAGAACACGAGCCGCCAGCAAAAAUCCAGCCAUGACUACCAAUCACAAGCUGCAUGUGGGGGAAGGGCUUUGGAAGUCACUGGCAGCGGUGUGAGACUACCAGAUGCCCAAAUACAUGACAUGAGGUCUCUGCAAAUGCCAUUGGCCAGCAGAUGUAACCAUUCCCAAGAGGCAGGAAGGAAGUCCAGUGCAACGUGACACAGUAUCUGGUGUUAGCUCAAACUUCUGGAGUCUGAUCCUGGGCUUAUUUUAAGCAUAUAAUCGGAAAUGGUCCCACCAUCAUCAAGCUUAUGGAAAAGCCUCUGUGAGAAAGUCCUGUCUUAGAGGAAGCCGCUUCCUGUGCUCGGGAUGUGUCGGAAUGAUGGAGCUCGUCUGAAUUCCAUACCCGUACCUGUCUGUAGAAAGAAUGAUUUAAAUGCAUACCUUAGGAACCUGAGAAGAAAGUGUGCCCUGCUUGUGUGUCUGGACAUGCAAUUCCAGGUGGCGACGCCUUCCUUUGUCAACAGGACCAUUUCUCACACCCAGACAUGAAGUAUUACCAAGAAUGAAAAGACCGAAGCACUGUUUGUCUUAAAAAGCAAAGCAAGCACAAAGCAGCCUAAAUAUUAAGAAAUGUUCUCUCUUCUGAAGGAGGUCGGCUUCAUGGACCCUCUGCACACCACGGUUAGCUGACGGCACGCCUUUUGCUGUUACUCCCUGGUUAAAAGAGCACUGUCAUUGCGGGUGUGCUGACUUAUUGAUUCUGGAUAUUCGGGAAGGAAAACUCAGCAGAUUUUCUGAGAGAUCUAUUUUUUUGUUGUUGUUAUUAUUAUUGCUGGGGCAAACGUUAAAACUGAAGCACUCAGUAAAGGCUUAGUUUUAACCUAAGACUCUGCAAAUUGCCUCCAAGUUAGAGUCAGUGAGUUAAGAAUUCUGUGUUGAAUUGGAAAUUAAAAAUAGAUGCGGUAGUGAGAAAUGUAUUUAAGGCCCUGCCUACACUGUAGCUAGAAUCAUGUUCAUGAGAAUUAGGAAUGACUCUUGCUAGCCUGCUGUUAGCAUAAUUUCUCUGGCCAGAAAAGAUAUAAAUACAUGACAGUUUUCUUGGUAAUUAUUUUGAACACUUAUGAACUUCCUUACUGUUGUAGAUACUGCUGUGGUUAGCAUGCAUUUACCUCUUUGUUCGGAAAGGAAUUAAGUUGAAGAGGACAUGAAGUAGUGGCAUUGCAAUUAUUACAUGAUAUUUUAAUAUUGUCUUGUUCAGUAUGCUCAAGCUUAAAUGUCAUUGUCUAUAAUUUUACAGAUUGAGUUCUUCAGUGAAAUUUUUUGUGGAAUCUUAAAUAGGAGGUUGCCCACAUUGUAACAUUAUUAUCCAGAAUGGUGUAGCAUGUCUAUUUGGUACAUAUCCAUGCACAUACCAGUUUUAUGAUAUAUUCAGUGGUAAAAGGAAUAUGUAACAAGUGUGUAAUUAGGAACUAUAUGUCUCCACAUUUCCCAUUUCAUAAAGGUUGAAACCAACCAUGUAUUAAAAGCUUGAAUAUGUUUUCCCAGUUGA